UACAGAGGUCCCAAGCGUUGUUCGGAUUUACUGGGCGUAAAGGGUGCGUAGGUGGUCGGGUAAGUCUCAUGUGAAAUCCCGCAGCUUAACUGCGGAACGGCAUGGGAUACUAUUCGGCUCGAGGAUUGGAGGGGGGACUGGAAUUCCCGGUGUAGCAGUGAAAUGCGUAGAUAUCGAGAGGAACACCCGCGGCGAAGGCGGGUUGCUGGGCUGACACUGACGCUGAACUGCGAAAGCUAGGGGAGCGAACGGG
rnacentral:rRNA from 1 species